AUGGAUUGGCAGGGGCAGAAGAGCGCGGAGAUGCUGAUGCAGGUGCUGCUGGUGGCGUCAGCGGUGGCGGCGUUCCUGGUCGGGUACGCGAUGGCCGACUUCCAGCUCAUGCUGCUCGUCUACGCCGGCGGGGUUGUCCUCACGGCCCUCGUCACCGUCCCCAACUGGCCCUUCUUCAACCGGCACCCGCUCAAGUGGCUCGACGCCGCCGAGGCUGAUCGCCACCCCCGCCCUCAGAUCAGCAGCGCACCAGCGACUACUGGGGGUAAGAAGAAGACCGGGAAAAACAAGUAG
rnacentral:rRNA from 1 species